UUUUUACUCCUUUCAGGCUGGAUGAUAAUAUUUUUUUAAAAAUAAAAUAUAUAUAUGUCUGAGUCUGAUUUUGAACAUACUAUCGACCGAUCUUGCAAGGACACCAAAUAUCUUUAUUUUCACUAAUAUGGAAUGAUCUUCGUGGGCACCCAGGCCAAAAGUGAUACUUAGAUGAAUACUGCAAGUGUAAACAACUCAACUCUUCCAACAAGAAAUGAUAAUUAAUUCAAU
rnacentral:lncRNA from 1 species